UACGGGUGGUGCAAGCGUUAUCCGGAUUCACUGGGCUUAAAGGGUGCGUAGGUGGCUUUGUAAGUCAGUGGUGAAAUCUUAGAGCUUAACUCUAAAACUGCCAUUGAUACUGCUUAGCUUGAAUCAAGUAGAGGUGGAUGGAAUAUUACAUGUAGCGGUGAAAUGCUUAGAUAUGUAAUAGAACACCGAUUGCGAAGGCAGUUCACUAUGCUUGUAUUGACACUGAGGCACGAAAGCGUGGGGAUCAAACAGG
rnacentral:rRNA from 1 species